UGGGGAAUCUUGCGCAAUGGGGGCAACCCUGACGCAGCCAUACCGCGUGAGUGAUGAAGGUCUUCGGAUUGUAAAGCUCUUUCGGCGGGGACGACGAUGACGUUACCCGCAAAAGAAGUCACGGCUAACUUCGUGCCAGCAGCCGCGGUAAUACGAAGGUGGCGAAUGUUGCUCGGAUUCACUGGGCGUAAAGCGUCUGUAGGUGGCUUGUUAAGUUAGAGGUGAAAGCCCCGCGCUCAACGUGGGAACUGCCUUUAAAACUGGCGAGCUGGAGUGUAUGAGAGGAAGGCGGAAUAACCGGUGUAGAGGUAAAAUUCAUAGAUAUCGGUUGGAACAUCCAUGGCGAAGGCAGCUUUCUGGCAUAUUACUGACACCGAGAGACGACAGCGUGGGGAGCAAA
rnacentral:rRNA from 1 species